AAUGCCUUCUAGAAAAGAGGCUGUUGGUCAUCCCCUGUGGUGGCCUCUGCCACGAGCCGGCUGUUAUUAGGUGUAGAGAGUGUCUCCCCGAGGAGUGGUUCUGUGGAGACUGUGAUGUACUUCAUCACAAGAACCAGCCACUCCACAACAGGGACAGUUUAAUGAAUGGUUUUUUUUUAAACCAAUUAGUCCAACAACGUGUCUUGUUAGAGUGGAAGGUGGAUAUGACACCCAUGACCAAGCUUGCAUAUUGCCAACUGUGAAGGCACCCAACUGCUCCUGUAAAGGCACAAACUUCACUGUGGUACCAGGCAAACCAGUGAUUUUAAUUACCAUCAAUGGGCGUUAUGACUUGUAUCUGCCACUAUAUGUCUGUCAAACUUGCCAGCAGCAGUGGACCCCCGACUUGAAAGUCCUCCUUAAGAGUGGAUACUGGCCAGCUUGGGUCAGUAUUUCCACACUUUACACCUUGGACCUCCUGAGCUCCUUUGAAGAGCUCAAGGUCAUCUCUCCGGGAUUCUCCAGACAGGCCUUUGCAAAGCUGCUGGAGCAUCGCACAAAGUGUGGAGGAAGAUCUGGACCUGUCAACGGAGAUGCACUGCAGCGCAGCUUUCUGGAGUUCUCCUAUGCCUCGUAUGAGGAAGACCAGCUCUGCUGUGGUGCUC